rnacentral:rRNA from 1 species
AUUGAACGCUGGCGGCAUGCCUAAUACAUGCAAGUCGAACGAUCACUUCGGUGGUAGUGGCGCACGGGUGCGUAACGCGUGGGAAUCUACCCUUGGGUUCGGAAUAACAGUUAGAAAUGACUGCUAAUACCGGAUGAUGACGAAAGUCCAAAGAUUUAUCGCCCAAGGAUGAGCCCGCGUAGGAUUAGCUAGUUGGUGAGGUAAAAGCUCACCAAGGCGACGAUCCUUAGCUGGUCUGAGAGGAUGAUCAGCCACACUGGGACUGAGACACGGCCCAGACUCCGACGGGAGGCAGCAGUAGGGAAUAUUGGAAAAUGGGGGCAACCCUGAUCCAGCAAUGCCGCGUGAGUGAUGAAGGCCUUAGGGUUGUAAAGCUCUUUUACCCGAGAUGAUAAUGACAGUAUCGGGAGAAUAAGCUCCGGCUAACUCCGUGCCAGCAGCCGCCGUAA